UACGUAGGGUGCGAGCGUUGUCCGGAAUUAUUGGGCGUAAAGAGCUUGUAGGCGGUCUGUCGCGUCUGCUGUGAAAAUCCGGGGCUCAACCCCGGACUUGCAGUGGGUACGGGCAGACUAGAGUGUGGUAGGGGAGACUGGAAUUCCUGGUGUAGCGGUGAAAUGCGCAGAUAUCAGGAGGAACACCGGUGGCGAAGGCGGGUCUCUGGGCCGAUACUGACGCUGAGGCGCGAAAGCUAGGGGAGCGAACAGG
rnacentral:rRNA from 1 species